AGCUUUGCACAGUGACAGUAUCAUACCCAAUGAGGUUUAGCCCAGGCGCGAAUGUUGCUAUUGAAAACUUUUCCCAAUACCUCGCCAUGAUGACUUGAAAUAUAAUUGACAUUGGCAAUUUUUGACAGUCUCUGUGGAGA